CAGAGGGCGCGAGCGUUGUCCGGAAUCACUGGGCGUAAAGGGCGCGUAGGUGGCCAGCAUAAGGCCGCGGUGAAAGUCCGGAGCUCAACUCCGGAUCUGCCGCGGCGACUGUGCGGCUUGGGCACUGUAGAGGCAGAUGGAAUUCCGGGUGUAGCGGUGGAAUGCGUAGAGAUCCGGAAGAACACCGGUGGCGAAGGCGAUCUGCUGGGCAGUGGACCGCAAGGUCCAAUAGCCGACACUGAGGCGCGACAGCGUGGGGAGCAAACAGGAUUAGAUACCCUGGUAGUCCACGCCGUAAACGAUGGGCACUAGGUGCUCCGGGGAGCGACCCUUGGAGUACCGGCGCUAACGCAUGAAGUGCCCCGCCUGGGGAGUACGGCCGCAAGGCUG
rnacentral:rRNA from 1 species